UGGAGAGCUUGAAGGAGGAGAUGCAGGAUUGCCACACCUUGAAGAAGAGAGAGCUGACUAUCUGCCCAGCAUCUCUUAUUCUGCCUGCCCAUUAUGUGGAUGCAACAGGGGAUAGGAAAAGCGUGUCCCCAGCCUGCCAUUACCCGCUUGUGAUUCCUCAUCACCGCCAUCUGCUAUUGUUCAACAGGGUUCGUCUACCACAGGUGAGGAGUGAAUCAUAUUUGCUGGUGUGUGCAGAAGGGGGGGAACUCCAAGCCUGGGAGAGACAUUGUUGUACUGAACUCUCCUGAAUGAACCUGAAGCCUGUUUAUUCCUCGGCCCAGCUCCCGAUCCACUUGCUGCCUGGACACACUCCUCCCUGACUACAUUCAGACAUGCACAUCAUCAAACUGGACUUGUAUUCCACAUCGAAUCCUCUCUGAAUCCAAGGCCAGCCUUGUUUCAAGAACCUCCACAAACCAUGCCCCGGCAUCUCCCACUCACAGACUCCCUAAACAUUGUCCCUCUUCCUACUGCCAGCUAAGUAGAGUUGCUCAUUUCCAAGCUCAUAUCCUUGUUAAUGUUAGCGAUAGCGAUUGUGUGUUUUGGGUCUAGCAGUUUCUGUUUCGCCAUGUCUGAGUGUAGAAGUAGC
ensembl:lncRNA